GGGGUCGUCCUGCCCCACAUGGGGGGGUUCUACGUCUUCGGGGGUGAGUGCGGUUAUGGGGUGGGCAUGGGGUCGCUAUGGGGUCCUUAUGGGGUGGGUAUGGGGUCCUUAUGGGGCUGGGUGGUUAUGGGGCGGUUAUGGGGUGGUUAUGGGGUGGUUAUAGGGCUGGGGGGCUAUGGGGUGGCUAUGGGGUCUCUAUGGGUUGCUGUGUGUUCCUAUGGGAUUUACGGGAUCUGUGGGUCACUCUAUGGCAUCUAUGGGGCACCGCGUGUUCCUAUGGGGUCUGUGGGUCUCUAUGGGGUCUAUGGGGUGCUGUGUGUUCCUAUGGGGUCUAUGGGUCUCUAUGGGGUCUGUGGGUCAGUCUAUGGGAUCUAUGGGGUGUGUGGGUCUGUAUGGGGUGCCAUGUGUUCCUAUGGGAUCUGUGGGUCUCUAUGGGGUGCUGUGUGUUCCUAUGGGAUUUAUGGGAUCUGUGGGUCACUCUAUGGGGUCUGUGGGUCUCUAUGGGGUCUCUGUGGGUUGCUGUGUGUUGCUAUGGGAUUUAUGGGGUGUGUGGGUCACCCUAUGGGAUCAGUGGGGUCUGUGGGUCCGUUUUUAGGGCAGGCCCUGGGCGCCCCAUUGGGGGAUCUGGUGAUGUUCAACUUCAGCACCAAUUCCUGGAGCCGCAUCCUGCAGCGCCCCGCGCCGGUCAGCGCCCGCCCUGACCUCUGACCUCUGACCCCAGCCCUGACCUCUGACCCCCAGCAAUGUCAUCUGACCCCUGCCCUGACCUCUGAACUCACAUCUGACCUCUGACCCCCAGCCCUGACCUCUGACCCUCAGCCCUGACCUCUGACCCCCAGCCCUGACCUCUGACCCUCAGCAAUGUCCUCUGACCCCCAGCCCUGACCUCUGACAACCAGCCCUGGCCUCUGACCCCAGCCCUGACCUCUGACCCUCAGCAAUGUCCUCUGACCCUCAGCCCUGACCUCUGACCCUCACCUCUGACCUCUGAAACCCAGCCCUGACCUCUGACCUCACGUCUAACCUCUGACCCCAGCCCGGACCUCUGACCCUCAGCAAUGUCCUAUGACCCUCAGCCCUGACCUCUGACCUCACCUCAGACCUCUGACCCCCANNNNNNNNNNNNNNNNNNNNNNNNNNNNNNNNNNNNNNNNNNNNNNNNCCUCAGCCCUGACUUCUGACCCCCAGCCCUGACCUCUGACCUCACAUCUGACCUUUGACCCCCAGCCCUAACCCUGGGCCCCCCUCCCCCCAUCCCUGACCCUUGACCCCCGUGACUCCCUGACCUUUGACCUCUGACUCCAGCUCUGACCUCCAACCCCCAUCCUUGGUCUCAGACCCCCGUCCCUGACCUCUAACUCCCCAUCCCUGACCCCUGACCCCCAUCCCUGACCCUUGACCCCCC
rnacentral:lncRNA from 1 species